rnacentral:lncRNA from 1 species
UUAAGCUUUAAUAUGUUUAAUUCCAUCCUCUCCUUUCCCUUGUUUGUUUACAUUCAGCAUUUUUCUUUAAACAUUAACAUGUUAAUUCUUUUCCCCUGUUUCCCUCACCUGUUUGUGUAUUUCAUUUAAGCUAUGGCAUGUUUAAUCCCUUUGCCCUGUUCCCUUGUCUGUUUAUGUUAAGCUUUAGCAUGCUUAAUUUCCUU